UUUUUAAUCACGCCUGUACAAAACAGAUGGUCCUAAGCCUAUAUUAAAGUGAGAAGGAAAA
rnacentral:ribozyme from 2 species